AAAACACCACCAUUUCAUUCAAGCUUAAUUAGCUUGAACCUAUACAUAGUACAGCAUGCCUCUGUCCUAAACAGAGCCUGCGUCAUCUCUCCUCUCCCAGGAUCUUGUUAUACAACCCCUGCUGCAGUUCCCUGCAAGCCAGCUUCCAACACAAGCUUGUAGCUGUGAAUCUAAUUGUCAAAGCAAUCAAUAGAUUGCAUCCUAGUUAUAGUACAGACCCCAUGUCAUUCAAUGUCUCCUGGAAGCCCAGCUUCUAGGAGAAUGCAGGUCACUCCGAGCAAAUUAGUUGUUCUGGAUUUGAGAAGAUGGACUGCUGGGACAAAUUUCCAGGGGAUUAGGCAAACCCAGGAACUGAGUAGCAGUGGAAAUGCUGCUAAGCCAUGUCCUACGCACACCAGCUCCCUGGUUUCUCGUCAUUGCACAAUGACCACUCAUACAAAGAUGGGAUGGUGACUGUCCCCUUUGCUAGUACCAGCAGUCUCCUCUCUCACCUCAUGCUGCAGCUGCCCAGCACAGCCUGGCACCCGCCCUUCAUCUUCCACUUAGCAAAAUGCCAUUUCAUUUCCAUCUCCAACAAGUCUCAGGCUGCCUCCAGUGAGCAAAUACAGCUAACUUGGCAGUUUUGCCAAGUGAUCAACUUUCCCCACUCAUCCAUAAGCUAAUGGAAUCAAAGCUCUUUUUGGUCAAUUAGCGCAUUAAAUUCUGCACAUUAAAUCCCACCUCUCCGUUCUACAGAGUGGAAUGAAGAUCAAAAGAUGAUUCAAAAAAAAAUUCCAAGUACCUUUAAUAGCAGCAAAUAACUGGGGGGAAAAAUAUAUUCCCAGCACUGUCCUAACAUAUACCUCUGUUGCUCAGACACGUAUUCAGGCUGCUGGAAAAAAAAAACAGCCAUCUUUUUCCAGGCCAAAUCUAGUAUCUACCACAAAAAACUAAAUCUCUAUUAUGUGACCUGUUAGAAAAAAUGCUACUCCUUUAACUCCAGGAACUUUGCAAGUGAUAAUUGGAGACUCUGGAAGCAAUGCUUAAAAUAAGGGCAAUUGAGGACAAACAGGCGGUACACACCUUACAAAAUAACCUCCAGACAGGUGUGCACUCGAUGACAUAAGAAAGGGACCUGUUCCACAUGCCAGCUCUCGUAUUCUGAAGAGAAGGGAGCUGUACUACAUACCAGCUGACAAAAUGCUCUCAUAUUCUGCAAAGAAGCUUGCCAUACGUGGAUUAUAAGAUCUGUGUUUUCCCAGUCAUGCAGACAUCACCAGGGUUCUGGUAGCAGAGGCUUCUAUGCUCUGCACAACACAGAAGGAAGCAUCAAGAACCAGAGGAGUAAUCUGAGUGAGAUUUUAAAUUCCCCUCUACUGAGCCAUAACCCAGGAGAUCUCAGAGGAGACAGAAGAGGCCAGUGGGGAAGAACACACUUGCCAGUACAGGAAACACUCAUCGUAUUUACGUCGUCUUACUGAGAGUCACAGAAAAACACCAAGACAGGCUGAGCGCUGACACCGGUUACUUAAUGGAGCUGUGCUCCUCGCCGCCCGAAAUCCCGUCCCGUUUACACGAACCUCUUCUGCAAUCAGAAUACAUUAACCGCUAACAACAAAAAGCAGCGCUGCCCAAGAGGCGCAGUGGGGAAAGCCCCCCGCACACAACGCACUUGCCGUAGCACCCAGGGCCCGGCUAAGA